rnacentral:rRNA from 1 species
UACAUGGGGUGCAAACGUUGCUCGGAAUUACUGGGCGUAAAGCGUGCGCAGGCGGUUUUGCAAGCCGGAUGUGAAAUCCCCGGGCUUAACCUGGGAAUGGCAUUUGGGACUGCAAGGCUGGAGUGCGGCAGAGGAGACUGGAAUUCCUGGUGUAGCAGUGAAAUGCGUAGAUAUCAGGAGGAACACCGAUGGCGAAGGCAGGUCUCUGGGCUGACACUGACGCUCAUGCACGAAAGCGUGGGGAGCAAACAGG